GGGCUUGGGCUGGGAUUCCUCGCAUGAUCGGCCUGUCCCUCUCCCUGCCUCCAGACCACUUUCCAUCACUCACUCACUCACUCACUCACUCACUCACUCAUUCCGAGGGCUGCAUUGAUGGUCCAGUAGUAGAAUUCUCACUUCCCAUUCAUUCAUUCAUCCAUUCAUCUGUCCCUGCCACCAGUUCUAGGAGGGGUGGUGGAAGACAAAGCCGGGCUCUGACACUGCCAGCAGGGUGUGAUCAGGCCCUGGUGGAAUGAGCAACUGGGGAGGAGCACUUACCUGGGGGAAGGGAGGGAAGGCUCCCUGGAGGAAGCAGUCUUGGAGCUGAACCUUGCAAAGCUGCGCCCCGACCCACAGAAGCCUCCCACGCCGGGAUGAUUUAGCAUUUCCGUGAGACUGGGAGGAAAGUUUGGGCUAGGAAGACGUGAGACUAUAAAAGGCUUCACAUGCCAGCAGGGGAGGGUCUCGGACAGAUCCGUGUGUCUGGAAUGUUACUUGGGGGAUGGUGAGAAGGCCGGACCAGAGGACGGGAAGGCCUCAGAGGAGGAUGGGCGUGGUCCAGGCAGUGGAGAACGAGACUCAAGUCCAGGCACUGGAAGAGGAGCAGAUACGCUGAGAAGGUACAGAGGCAGGUUUGGGAUAUAUUCAGUCUGACGGCGCUGGAUCCCGGGGUAGGGACUUAGAAGCAUGUUAUGGGCUAAAGACAAAAAUAGCCCAGCAAGCAUCGGUGUAUUGUGGGGCAGAGAGGCUCUUAAGCUGGGAGCGAGGGUGAAGUCUCCCUAGAGCAGAAUGGAGAACAAGACUGGAGACUGAACCCUGAGGACCCCCAACACCUCAGAGACAGGCAGAGGAGAGAGGCCACAAAGGUAGGAGGUGAGGCCAGGCACGGUGGCUCACGCCUGUAAUCCCAGCACUUUGGGAGGCCGAGGCGGGCAGAUCACAAGGUCAGGAGAUCGAGACCGUCCUGGCUAACAUGGUGAAACCCCACCUCUACCAAAAUUACAAAAAAUUAGCCGGGCAUGGUGGCACAUGCCUGUAGUCCCAGCUACUCGGGAGGCUGAGGCAGGAGAAUCACUUGAACCCGGGAGGCAGAGGUUGCAGUGAGCCAAGAUCAUGCCACUGCACUCCAGCCUGGGCGAGAGAGGGAGACUCCAUCUCAAAAAAAAAGUCUAGGCACAGUGGCUCACACCUGUAAUCCCAGCACUUUGGGAGGCCGAGGCGGGAGGAACACGAAGUCAGGAGUUUGAGACAAGCCUGUCCAGCACAGCGAAACCCCGUCUCUACUAAAAAUACAAAUAUUAGCCAGGCGUGGUGGUGGGCGCCUGUAAUCCCAGCUACUCGGGAGGCUGAGGCAGGAGAAUCGCUUGAACCCGGGAGGUGGAGGUUAUAGUGAGCCAAGAUCACACCACUGCACUACAGCCUGGAUGACAGAGCUAGACUCCAUCUCAAAAAAAAAAAAAAAAAAAAAGGUAGGAGGUGAACCAGGCAAAAGUGAUGCCCCAGCAAUGGAGGAGGGAGGAGCGUCAAGGAAUAGGGAUGUAGUUCCUGGCGUCACAAGCUGCUGAGAGACAAGCGUGGUGGUUCAUGCCUUCAAUCCCAGCACUUUGGGAGGCCGAGGAAGGAGGAUCACGGCAGACCAAGAGUUUUGAGACCAGCCUUGGAAACAUUGCAAGACCCCUUGUCUCUUAAAAAAAAAAAAAA
rnacentral:lncRNA from 1 species